rnacentral:rRNA from 1 species
CCUACGGGAGGCAGCAGUGGGGAAUUUUGGACAAUGGGCGAAAGCCUGAUCCAGCAAUGCCGCGUGAGUGAAGAAGGCCUUCGGGUUGUAAAGCUCUUUUGUCAGGGAAGAAACGGUGGGAGCUAAUAUCUCUUGCUAAUGACGGUACCUGAAGAAUAAGCACCGGCUAACUACGUGCCAGCAGCCGCGGUAAUACGUAGGGUGCAAGCGUUAAUCGGAAUUACUGGGCGUAAAGCGUACGCAGGCGGUUUUGUAAGUCUGAUGUGAAAUCCCCGGGCUCAACCUGGGAAUUGCAUUGGAGACUGCAAGGCUAGAAUCUGGCAGAGGGGGGUAGAAUUCCACGUGUAGCAGUGAAAUGCGUAGAUAUGUGGAGGAACACCGAUGGCGAAGGCAGCCCCCUGGGUCAAGAUUGACGCUCAUGCACGAAAGCGUGGGGAGCAAACAGGAUUAGAUACCCUGGUAGUCCACGCCCUAAACGAUGUCUACUAGUUGUCGGGUCUUAAUUGACUUGGUAACGCAGCUAACGCGUGAAGUAGACCGCCUGGGGAGUACGGUCGCAAGAUUAAAAACNCAAAAGAGUAAGUCGGAGNGAGAGAGACGACGACGACGACGAGGAGGAGGAG